rnacentral:rRNA from 1 species
UGCCAGCAGCCGCGGUAAGACGAACCGGACAAACGUUAUUCGGAAUUACUGGGCUUAAAGGGUGCGUAGGCGGUGCGGCAAGUCGGAUGUGAAAUCCCUCGGCUCAACCGAGGAAUUGCGUCCGAAACUGCCGUGCUAGAGGGAGAUAGGGGUGAGCGGAACUCACGGUGGAGCGGUGAAAUGCGUUGAUAUCAUCAGGAACACCGGUGGCGAAGGCGGCUCACUGGGUCUCUUCUGACGCUGAGGCACGAAAGCUAGGGUAGCGAACGGGAUUAGAUA